GUCCAACUGAUGUGCUCUAGCGGGAUGGGA
rnacentral:piRNA from 1 species